rnacentral:misc_RNA from 1 species
GACGAAGAACGUAGCGAAAUGCGAUAAGUAAUGUGAAUUGCAGAAUUCAGUGAAUCAUCGAAUCUUUGAACGCACCUUGCGCCCUUUGGCCAUUCCGAAGGGCAUGCCUGUUUGAGUAUCAUGAACACCUCAACUCUUCAUGGUUUUCCGUGAUGAGCUUGGACUUUGGGGGUCUUGCUGGCCUAUGGUCAGCUCCUCUAAAAUAAAUCAGCUUGCCAGUGUUUGGUGGGUAUCACAGGUGUGAUAACUAUCUACGCUUGUGGUUUUCCACCAGGUAACCUUCAGCAGUGGAGGUUCGCUGGAGCUCACAGAUGUGUCUCUCCUCAGUGAGGACAGCUCUUUGAAUGUUUGAUCUCAAAUCAGGUAGGACUACCCGCUGAACUUAAGCAUAUCAAUAAGCGGAGGA